AGUCCUGGAAACGGGGAUACUGAGAUGGAGAGGCUUGAGCGCUGCCGCAAAGGAAAAAUCAGACGCAGACACGAGAAAUUCUGUGCUGUCUGGGACGCAGGAGGAGGAGAGUCCUCGUCACUGGGAGCCCAGCUCCGCCGCUCCUGCCCGGAUGCUCGGUGGUCCGCAGAAAGCUCCCUUCUUAGUCGCUGACUCAGGACUAUGAUAGCAGUGGCACUCAGAGGUGGCUUAAUGGAGAGCAUACCUUUAUUCGUCUUUUGCUCGCAGAUCUCUUAGCCACCCUUCCCUGCCCGCUCUGUGAUGUACAGAAUGCGGACACACUCACUCCCUGUACAAAUGGUACCUGCUGGAGCUCAGCCAGUUGAAGCCAACGAUAGAAACUGCAAGAGGAGACUCUCGGCUUCAGCCUGGAAUUUGACUACGACUCUAACAAGCCGAGACUCUCAACACUCAGCUCUCAGCCCAUUCUUAGCUCCAGCCUAUUUUGUACCACCCACACAGAUGAUGCUCCAUCAGAAGGUCUAGAAUAAGGCCAUAGUGAAUAACUAUCAGUCAUUCCUGGUGUUUCUUCCACCCCGGGGCCAGUAGCUAACCUUCAGGCUACACCAGAAGAGAGGGAGACUGGCCUGCGCCUUUUGGAACCUAAGGUGUUGCACCUGGGCGCACCCUACCUGAGGAGGUUCAACUAUGCAUCAUUCUGCCUACUUCAUACAGGUGGCUGAGGCUGGAGGCGGAUGCUCGGAGCACUGAUCCAUCCAUUAGCUGGCCUGUGCUGCCCUCUGCCGGCCAGUGGGGUUUAACAGCCACCCUAAGCCGAGAGAGACCUGGAAUUGGAGCCAGCUGACUGCUUUGAGAGAAAACCUGUUAGGAAUGGACUUUUGAGGGCGUUCCCUUUCCUGUGCAAGUGAGUUUUGGUCCUACAGAGGAAGGGUAAAGCUGGGAAAGUGGCUUGUUUUCAUAAAGUCUGUGAGGCGCUUCCACUCAGGUGCCGAAAGGGAGAUCAGGAGGUAGCAGUGUUCCAAGAAGCCCUCUAACCAACGAUUUCCAAUCUUCCCACCGGUGGCAAAACUCCCAGAGGGCACAGUUUCAAGAUUCAGUUUUUCCACCUUUAAAACGGAGACGAAUGUGACCUUGCAGGAUUUUGAGAGGGUGAGGAUUUCUGUAAAGUGCCAGUGAGGUGUGCAAGCCCUGUCCCUGUGUAAGUGUAGCUGCCAAGCCUCAUCAAAGAAGGUUCUCUUUACACCUAACAGAGACCGUCCCAGAAGACAGCUCGAUACAAUGCAAGAUCACCAGAUCCCAACAGAUACAUCUGCAUCACAGCUCCUGCAUCCACGGCCGAGGGAACUUGGAGGAAGUAGGCGUGGGAAGAUUGUAAGAGCCUGUAUACCAAGAAGUCUGCCGUGAGCAUCUCUCCUGGAAAUGGCUGCAUAAACUAGACCGAAGCAGUGGCAUAUCUGAUGGACAUGUUAACGUGGAAGGGAGAGGUUUUCUUGGGGUUCCACCCCUAGACAAAGACCUACAGGCCACUAGUGGCUGCUGGGAGAGAGAGUUAGCUACUCCCAGAGAUGGACCCCUUUAUUUGUUGCACAAUGCAGAGUGGUCAGCCUUGAAACCAUAUACAGCAGCAAAAGGAACAGGCUUAGCAGGUUGUAUUUACAUAUAAUUGUGAAUACACAUACAUACUAAUCUAUAGAUGUAUGUGAAAAUAAUUUUUAAAGAAGGGUACUUAACUUGAGCACUGGGGCUUGAGAGGGACUGGAGGACAGAGAUCUGGCAGGGGCUGGAAGAAAGUGAGGGGAGCGAUGUAAUUCUAUUGUUAAAAUGUAUUUUUUAAGUGCCUGUGAGGGGCUGGAGACAUGGCUCAGCAGUUAAGAAUGCUGAAUUCUCCUGCAGAUGACUAGGUUCAGUUCUGAACACUCGCAUGCCAGCUCACAACCAUCUAUCUGUAACUCCACAUCCAGGGAUCUGACCCUUCUGACUUCAGUGGCUCCCAGAUGCCCAAAGUACACACACAUACACAUACAAAUAGAAUCGGUAUAUAAUUAAGAGUGCCUGCAGACACCUAGAAAUGGCAGCUGUGAAGAAGGACAUGUAAUUUUCACUAAAUGUCAGGAUGAGAAAUUUAUCAAGAUUCUGUUACAGGUUUUCAGGGUCAAAGCCUGGGUGCUGAAAGUCUAAACUUGACUGUUUAUGCACAGUAUGUUUGUGCUGUGCCCUGUAUGUCAAUUAAAGAUACAAGCAAUAAUAAAAAUCAG
rnacentral:lncRNA from 1 species